UGAGGAAUAUUGGUCAAUGGGCGGGAGCCUGAACCAGCCAAGUCGCGUGAGGGAAGACGGUCCUAUGGAUUGUAAACCUCUUUUGUCGGGGAGCAAAGAGGCCACGUGUGGUCAAAAGCGAGAGUACCCGAAGAAAAAGCAUCGGCUAACUCCGUGUC
rnacentral:rRNA from 1 species